GCGCUAUCCCCGGGGGGCUGCACGCAAGCAGCUGAGAUAUGGCUGAUGCCAUGACCCGCUGAACCUGAUCCGGUUAGCGCCGGCGUAGGGAGGGAGGCGCGGGCCGCC
rnacentral:ncRNA from 2 species